rnacentral:rRNA from 1 species
UUUCUUCUGGACUUUCGCCGUAUGGGCGCGGGGCGACAAGCGUCUUCAUGCNCCUCUUCGUGUAGAAAGUCUUCGAAUGUUAUACUAUCAUCGAGUCGCGACUUCUAGGAGACGCGGUUCUUUGAGACAAAAGUUAUUACAACUUUCAGCAACGGAUCUCUUGGCUCUCGCAUCGAUGAAGAACGCAGCGAAUCGCGAUAUGUAAUGUGAAUUGCAGAUCUACAGUGAAUCAUCGAAUCUUUGAACGCACCUUGCGCUCCUCGGUGUUCCGAGGAGCAUGCCUGUUCGAGUGUCAGUAAAUUCUCAACCCCUCUCGAUUUGUUUCGAGCGGGUGUUUGGAUAGUGGGGGCUGCCGGAGACCUGGAUUUAUUUCAGGACUCGGGCUCUCCUGAAAUGCAUCGGCUUGCGGUUGACUUUCGACUUUGCAUGACAAGGCCUUCGGCGUGAUAAUGAUCGUCGUUAGCUGAAGUGCAUGAAUGAACCGUCCUGCGCCUCUAAUACGUCGACGCUUUCCAGCGUCUUCCUUAUUGACGUUUGACCUCGAAUCAGGUAGGACUACCCGCUGAACUUAAGCAUAUCAAUAAGCGGAGGA